GAACGCACAUUGCGCCCCUUGGUAUUCCACUGGGCAUGCCUGUUCGAGCGUCAUCUACACCCUCAAGCUGUGCUUGGUGUUGGGCGUCUGUCCUCGUUCCCCGCGGACUCGCCUCAAAUGCAUUGGCGGCGGCUCUACCGGCUUCUUGCGCAGCACUUUUGCGCGUGGAAGACCGGUGGGCUCGCACCCAUCAAGGACCUCUCCAUUUGACCUCGAAUCAGGUAGGGAUACCCGCUGAACUUAAG
rnacentral:misc_RNA from 1 species